rfam:Candidatus Woesebacteria bacterium RIFCSPLOWO2_01_FTLL_39_25 rifcsplowo2_01_scaffold_308, whole genome shotgun sequence.
UCUGGAGGAAGGACGGUUAGGCUGUGAGAUAAAGCGAAUACUCGCUAUCUAAUGGUCAGGAAAGUCCAGGCAGCAGAAGGCAGGAGACGCGGCGUAAGCCGUGACCCGAAAGGGCUGGUUAGAGCAACAGAGACUAUGUCGACUCUUUUACCCUAAAGGUAAAAGAACACGAGUGAAAAGGGCAAUCCCCUCCGCUGCAACCUUCGACCGGGACGUUUUAAGGAUGCCUUCCCAAGUUCCAAUGAAGGGCACUAGACAGAUUACCGUCGAGAAACAGAACCUGGCUUACUAGCCUCCAGAGACU